GCUGGGUACAGUGGUGCACACCUGUAAUCCCAGUGGCUUGGGAGGCUGAGACAGGAGGAUUGUGAGUUCAAAUCCAGCCUCAGCAAUAGUGAGGUGCUAAGCAACUCAGUGAGACCCUGUCUCUA
rnacentral:sRNA from 1 species